GGUGAGAUGGCCGAGCGGUCUAAGGCGCCAGACUAAGGAUCAGGAUAUUUCAUGUCCACAGCGGGUUUCUACUCUGCAAUCUGGUCCGAAAGGGCGUGGGUUCGAAUCCCACUCUCAUCA